GUUUCUGUAGUGUAGUGGUUAUCAUGUUCGCCUCACGCGCAAAAGGUCCCUGUUCAAAACAGGACAGAAACA